ACCCCCUGGCAAUGGACAAAGAGAUGCCUUGUUAGGGGUGGUGCUCUUAUAUCAGUCAGGGGCAGAGCAGAUGGCAGGCCGUUGUUCAUCCUAGCUUGGUGCCUGCCUUGGUGGCCAUAGUUGUCUUAUGCCUAAGACUCAUAA
ensembl:snoRNA LOC120102025 small nucleolar RNA SNORA48